GAAAAAUCAGUCAGUUUGCUCAAAGCAACGAUGUGGAUCAUCUGGACUCUGGCCAUUGGCCUUUUGGAACUAGGAGGUUCAAAUGCUGAGGUCAAGCAACCGUGGAGUCUGGUGCUACCUGAAGGCGAAUCUGCCAGCCUGACUUGCAGCCAAAACAACAACCAUAACCAAAUGUUCUGGUACCAGCAGAGUGGAGGGCAAGGGCUGCAGCUCCUAUACAACUUCUAUAACAAAUUUGAGCGGGAGAAGGGCACUGUUUCAGACCGGUUCACAGCUGAACAACCCCAGAAAGAGCUUUGCAUCCUGAAUAUUUCCUCUGCAGAGCCAGGAGAUUCAGCUGUGUACUUCUGUGCAAGCAGCAUAGGCUCUGCAUAUGAGGUGCACUUUGGACCUGGAACCCGACUCACUGUUCUAGAAAAAGGACAAAAGACCUCUCCCCCAGAAGUGACCAUAUUUGCUCCGUCUGCACAGAAUCAAAGCAAACAGAAGGCCACAAUUGUGUGUUUAGCCACUGAUUUCUUCCCAUCAUGUCAACCUUACAUGGUUUAUGAAUGGUGGGCGAACGAGAACGAGGGAGUAAGAACAGACACUCCUGAGCUGGACAAACUAAGAAAAAAUACUCGCUGGUCAGUCGUUUAG